CAAAGCAAGAUCGUUGUUUCUAGUUUUGAUAUUUAUUAACGGGAAUCCUUACUGGCAAUAUUUGACGUAAACAUAACAAACGAAAAUCCAAAAACAUCGGAUUCUUUUAGAAACAUCCACUUAAACUAGACUAAUACCACAUCCAGAUUUAGAUCUAGAUCUAGAGUCUAUGUCUAUCUAGAAAUUUGAAGGAGUCCUAAUCAUUUUAAACGCCAACAACAAAUGCACCUAGAUCUAUAUCUAAUUGUAUAAAUAAUAAUGCUUGCCUAUGUAGAUCUAGUCUCCUACAAAUUUAUAAUUCUAUGUUGUCUAGAUUCUACUUUUAUUAACUUUUACCCUUAGCCUGACUUACUAGUCUUAGGCGUCCUAGGAAAAAAUCAUUAAAAUGACUCUGGAAAGUUUCAUUAAAGAGUCUCUUACAGUUGUAUUUUCCAUUGCUUUUACUCUGAUUCUAAUUGUCAUUGCCUGGCUAGUUAUGUGGCACUUGUUCUUCUCAAAAAUACGAUUUGUUCGAGAAAUAAUAUUUCCAGAUGGUGACAGCAAACAAAAAGAUUCAAGUAAAAAAGAAGAAUUGAGAAGUAGAAGAGAAAAGCGACAGAGAAAAGAUUCUUGAUUCACUUGUUACUAUUAGCAGCACAUUGUCUCUUACCAACUUUUUAGAAAAACAUAUCCAGUCCAACACUAUUCUGCAAGAUGAAUAUAUUUUCUAGAGGUUGACAUUUUAUACUUUUAUGGUAUUCAGGCUAGCAGCAGAAUUGGAUAAUGUAACUUUUUAAUUUCAUUUUUUUUAAUAGGAAUAGCUAAUUCUUAUUUUCCAUUUCAUUUGUAUAAAAUGUUUGUUUUACAUGUUUCGGAUGUUCCUUCAGAGUUGAAGAUAGUUUACUUCCUAGUCCAAACCUCCCGCAGGACGACGGGGGAUGGGAGCGGGCAGGGUUUGAACCCUCAAUAAAUCCGAACGACAGUUCAGCGCGCAAACCACACGACCAGGCAGCCAUCCAGCCAUAGAAAUAGCUGUCUAAUUCUUUUUUUUUCCUAACAUUAUCUUUACUUAAAUUUGAAACUUAAUGGACAAUGGUCAGUUUUAUUUACAUUUUUCCCUUAUAAAAUGUCAUUUACUUUUAAGACUGUAAUGAACUAAUUGAUUUUCAAUGCAGUUGUUGUUUUGUUGACAUUUUUUAAAUGAAGAAUUGAAUACAUUUUGGUAUUUAAUUUAAAAGACCCAUGCCUGCAAAGUAUUUGAAAAUCAUAUUGGGUUAUUUGUAGCUUCCGUAUUAAAGAAAUUACUCACUGUCUAUUAUGAUACACAAUAAAUAAAGAAAAUAAAUAUAUUCUCUUUUCUAAUUUUUAAAUUGUUACUAUAAGCCAAGUAAAAAAACAACCAACUACUUUAUAAUGAUCAAUAAGAAGUAUUCUAUCAGUAUGUAUAUUCACUAGUCUCCUUAGUAUAUGUUAAUAAAAACUAUUUAUUGUUUAACAUUUCAUUUAACAAAUUUGAUAGUUGUACACUAUCUGUUGUAACAUCUUAAUGAUCUAUUUACAAUGAUUAUCAGAAAAUAAUGUUGAUGGGUUUAUACAUGUUUUUUUAUAUAUAUAUAUAUAAAUCUAUGUUUUCUUGAGCAACUGGGAAAGAGAAUGUUUUGGGGGAUUGAAUGUUUGUGUCUGUGAUCAGAAGAUUGAGAAUAAAAACUGCAAGAUUUACUAUGUAAUUCUUGAUUAAUAAAUAA